UACGUAGGGGGCAAGCGUUGUCCGGAAUUAUUGGGCGUAAAGAGCUCGUAGGCGGCUUGUCACGUCUGCUGUGAAAACUUGGGGCUCAACUCCCAGCCUGCAGUGGAUACGGGCUAGCUAGAGUGCGGUAGGGGAGACUGGAAUUCCUGGUGUAGCGGUGAAAUGCGCAGAUAUCAGGAGGAACACCGGUGGCGAAGGCGGGUCUCUGGGCCGAUACUGACGCUGAGGAGCGAAAGCGUGGGGAGCGAACAGG
rnacentral:rRNA from 1 species